rnacentral:rRNA from 1 species
AUGAACGCUGGCGGCGUGCCUAAUACUUGCAAGUCGCGCGAACGGACGAGAAGCUUGCUUCUCUGAUGUUAGCGGCGGACGGGUGAGUAACACGUGGAUAACCUACCUAUAAGACUGGGAUAACUUCGGGAAACCGGAGCUAAUACCGGAUAAUAUUUUGAACCGCAUGGUUCAAAAGUGAAAGACGGUCUUGCUGUCACUUAUAGAUGGAUCCGCGCUGCAUUAGCUAGUUGGUAAGGUAACGGCUUACCAAGGCAACGAUGCAUAGCCGACCUGAGAGGGUGAUCGGCCACACUGGAACUGAGACACGGUCCAGACUCCUACGGGAGGCAGCAGUAGGGAAUCUUCCGCAAUGGGCGAAGGCCUGACGGAGCAACGCCGCGUGAGUGAUGAAGGUCUUCGGAUCGUAAAACUCUGUUAUUAGGGAAGAACAUAUGUGUAAGUAACUGUGCACAUCUUGACGGUACCUAAUCAGAAAGCCACGGCUAACUACGUG